UACGUAGGUGGCAAGCGUUGUCCGGAUUUACUGGGCGUAAAGAGCGCGCAGGCGGUCGAAUAAGUCGAAUGUGAAAGCCCCCGGCUCAACUGGGGAGGGUCAUUCGAUACUGCUCGACUUGAAGGCAGGAGAGGGUAGUGGAAUUCCCGGUGUAGUGGUGAAAUGCGUAGAGAUGUGGAGGAACACCAGUGGCGAAGGCGACUCUUUGGUCUGUAACUGACGCUGAGGCGCGAAAGCGUGGGAGCAAACAGG
rnacentral:rRNA from 1 species